rnacentral:rRNA from 1 species
UUCCGGUUGAUCUUGCCGGAGGUCACUGCUAUUGGGAUUCGACUAAGCCAUGCGAGUCGAGAGCGUUCGGCCCUCGGCUGACGGCUCAGUAACACGUGGAUAAUCUGCCCUUAGGUGGAGGAUAAUCUCGGGAAACUGAGGAUAAUACUCCAUAGAUCUAGGAUGCUGGAAUGCAUUUAGAUUGAAAGCUCCGGCGCCUAAGGAUGAGUCUGCGGACUAUCAGGUUGUAGUCAGGGUAAAGACCUGACUAGCCUACGACGGAUACGGGUUGUGAGAGCAAUAACCCGGAGACGAUAUCUGAGACACGAUAUCGGGCCCUACGGGGCGCAGCAGGCGCGAAAACUGCACACUGUGCGAAAGCGCGAUGAGGGAAUCGCAAGUGUUUGCUCGUAAGAGUAAACUGUUUCUUUGUUUAAAACGCAGAGAGAGUAAGGGCUGGGUAAGACGGGUGCCAGCCGCCGCGGUAAUACCUGCAGCUCAAGUGUUGAUCAUUAUUAUUGGGCCUAAAACGUCCGUAGCCAGUUUAGUAAAUGCCUGGGUAAAUCGUGUAGCUUAACUAUACGACUUCCGGGUAGACUGCUAAACUUGAGACCGGGAGAGGCUAGAGGUACUCCUGGGGUAGAGGUGAAAUUCUGUAAUCCUAGGGGGACCACCAGUGGCGAAGGCGUCUAGCUAGAACGGGUCUGACGGUGAGUGACGAAGCCCUGGGGCACAAACCGGAUUAGAUACCCGGGUAGUCCAGGGUGUAAACGCUGCUUGCUUGAUGUUAGUUGGGCUCCGAGCCCAACUAGUGUCGGAGAGAAGUUGUUAAGCAAGCUGCCUGGGAAGUACGGUCGCAAGGCUGAAACUUAAAGGAAUUGGCGGGGGAGCACAGCAACGGGUGGAGCGUGCGGUUUAAUUGGAUUCAACGCCGGG